rnacentral:lncRNA from 10 species
CGGAGACAAGAGCAUGAUGAGCCUGCGGAUACAUUCCCAGAUUCAACAACUCAUGAUUUCUAAUUUGGCCACAGUGUAUAUGUGUUAAUGAUAAUGUCCUCAGAGUCAGAAUCACAUUGUGAUGUCACGCACACCCCACAGCCAGGUAGGUGUCCACAGCAUGAUCUCUUCACCGGGAUUGGGAUGAAAACACCAGUCAUCACCCAGCAGAUGUUGCUUCUCUACUGAGGACCCUUCAACUUGUUCACUGUUUCAAAGCUGAAGCUGCAAUUUGCGAAGUCGCAUUUUCCCGAAGGCUUUCCCACCUGGGCCUUGCUGAGGAACAUAAGAGUAUCAUCCCACCGACUGCUGGCAUUCGGCCCUGCGCCCACACAGCCCAGCGCUCUGCCUACCUGUGUCCAGGAGCCUGAACUCAGCUUGGCACUGGCUUUCUAUCCACCUUCUGCCCAGCAGUGAAUGGAGUCAACUCUCCCAUUAAUGGAGCACCCUCUGGGGGAAGGGCACUGUGUUUUCUGCUGAGCGCUAGGACCUUCACAGUCUCCACAGAGCAACAAACCAGAACUCAGCGAGAAGAGCAAUGCCAAAGAGGAGGCCUAGCGUGCAGACACACAUGAGCCUAGAGCAGCUGUGCCCACCCCAUGCCUCUACCAUUGACUCAAUGAGGACAGCUGUCUUUGAGAGUGGUGACGGUAGGGUUCUAUAGAAGAAGCAGGUCUGUUAAGCAAUCUGCGAGAUGGCCGGCCUCAGACCAAUCAAAGUCUACCAUUUUGUCUUAUCUAUCUAGAACCAUAACUCAAAAAUGAAAUUGCCCCAGCUUUUCUCCUCCCACCAUUAAAUUCCAUUCAAUCAUAGCAGGCAAAAUGCAGUCACGCUCAAGCAGCCAGAUGUUAUCAUUACAGACUGCUCUUUAUAAACCCAUGCUGAAACCUGAGUGGUUGAUGAGACCAGCUAAGCAGUUGUACCUUUGACCCAAUUGCAUUAAACUUGCCCUAUCAAUUUAAGCUCAGUAUAAACACCAUUUCCCAGAGCCCCUCGUGAAGUCAGCAGUGAGAAGAAGCUGACUAAGCCUAAACAUUUUUUAACAGCAAUCUUGUCUUACAACACCAAGGGGAUUUGCUGGGUAUCUGGGGCUUUAUAAAACCAUAUGAACAUGCUGAAAGAAUUAAAAUCCUUUAAAAAUGAAAAAUUGAUGGUGACA